GAUGAAGAACGCAGCGAAAUGCGAUACGUAAUGUGAAUUGCAGAAUUCAGUGAAUCAUCGAGUCUUUGAACGCACAUUGCGCCCCCUGGUAUUCCGGGGGGCAUGCCUGUCCGAGCGUCAUUGCUGCCCUCAAGCACGGCUUGUGUGUUGGGCCUCCGUCCUCCUCCCGGGGGACGGGCCCGAAAGGCAGCGGCGGCACCGCGUCCGGUCCUCGAGCGUAUGGGGCUUCGUCACCCGCUCUUGUAGGCCCGGCCGGCGCUUGCCGACACAUCAAUCUUUUUUCCAGGUUGACCUCGGAUCAGGUAGGGCUACCCGCUGAGUUUAAGCAUAUCAAUAGCGGAGGA
rnacentral:misc_RNA from 1 species